rnacentral:lncRNA from 1 species
AAAAAGAAGAAAACUGGGGUUCUGUUGAAUUUCAAGUAUUCAGUUUCACCAAUAAGAUACGGAGACUUGCUUCACAUUUGGAAUUACACAAAAAAGAUUUUUCAUCGGAGAGAGGUCUCCGAAGACUUUUGGGAAAACGUCAACGUUUGCUGGCUUAUUUGGCAAAGAAAAAUAGAGUACGUUAUAAGAAAUUAAUCAGUUAGUUGGAUAUUAGGGAGCGGUAAUUUCAUCGUUCGAAUUUUUUUUCUUAUUUUAUUAGUAGUCUUAUAGUAGUCUUAGAUUUUGCAUUUUGAUGAGCCUCGUUUUGAGGAAUUCAUGGAAUAAUCCAUUUUCAUGGAAUAAUGAAUUAAGGAAGAAAGGAUAUGAGUCUACCGCUUACAAGAAAAGAUCUCAUGAUAGUCAAUAUGGGCCCUCAGCACCCAUCAAUGCAUGGUGUUCUUCGACUGAUCGUUACUCUCGAUGGUGAAGAUGUUAUUGAUUGUGAACCCAUAUUAGGCUAUUUACACAGAGGAAUGGAAAAAAUCGCGGAAAACCGAACUAUUAUACAAUACUUACCUUAUGUAACACGUUGGGAUUAUUUAGCUACUAUGUUUACAGAAGCAAUAACGGUAAAUGCACCAGAAUUCUUGGAGAAUAUUCAAAUACCCCAAAGAGCCAGCUAUAUUAGGGUAAUUAUGUUAGAAUUGAGCCGUAUAGCUUCUCACUUGUUAUGGCUUGGACCUUUUAUGGCAGAUCUCGGUGCGCAGACUCCUUUUUUUUAUAUUUUUAGAGAGAGAGAAUUAAUAUAUGAUCUAUUUGAAGCUGCUACAGGUAUGCGAAUGAUGCAUAAUUACUUUCGCAUCGGAGGAGUUGCUGCCGAUCUGCCUUAUGGAUGGAUCGAUAAAUGUUUAGAUUUCUGUGAUUAUUUUUUACGAGGAGUUAUUGAAUAUCAACAACUUAUUACACAGAAUCCCAUUUUUUUGGAACGAGUUGAGGGAGUUGGUUUUAUUAGCGGAGAAGAAGCUGUAAAUUGGGGCUUAUCGGGCCCCAUGUUACGAGCUUCUGGAAUACAAUGGGAUCUUCGUAAAGUUGAUCUUUACGAGUCUUACAAUCAAUUCGAUUGGAAAGUCCAAUGGCAAAAAGAAGGGGAUUCAUUAGCACGCUAUUUAGUACGAAUCGGUGAAAUGAGGGAAUCAAUCAAAAUUAUUCAACAGGCUGUAGAAAAAAUUCCUGGGGGCCCUUAUGAGAAUUUAGAAGUCCGAUGCUUUAAGAAAGCAAAGAAUUCCGAAUGGAAUGAUUUUGAAUAUCGAUUUCUUGGUAAAAAACCUUCACCCAAUUUUGAAUUGUCAAAACAAGAGCUUUAUGCAAGAGUGGAAGCCCCAAAAGGUGAAUUAGGAAUUUAUCUGGUAGGAGAUGAUAGUCUUUUCCCCUGGAGAUGGAAAAUUCGUCCACCCGGUUUUAUUAAUUUGCAAAUUCUUCCUCAGCUAGUCAAAAAAAUGAAAUUGGCUGAUAUCAUGACGAUAUUAGGUAGUAUAGAUAUCAUUAUGGGAGAAGUUGAUCAUUGAAAUGAUAAUAGACAGGGUACAGGUAGAAGCUAUCAAUUCUUUUUCGAACUUGGAAUUAUUAAAAGAAGUCUAUGGACUGAUAUGGAUUCUACCCAUUUUGACCCUCUUACUGGGAAUCACAAUAGAAGUACUCGUAAUUGUGUGGUUAGAAAGAGAAAUAUCCGCAUCGAUACAACAGCGUAUUGGUCCUGAAUAUGCUGGCCCCCUGGGACUGCUUCAAGCUAUAGCAGAUGGAACUAAGCUACUUUUUAAAGAGGAUAUCUUGCCAUCCCGAGGGGAUAUUCCCUUAUUUAGCAUUGGACCGUCUAUAGCAGUCAUAUCAAUUUUAUUAAGUUUUUUAGUUAUUCCUUUGGGAUAUCGCUUUGUUUUAGCGGAUCUUAGUAUUGGUGUUUUUUUAUGGAUUGCCAUUUCAAGUAUUGCUCCUAUUGGUCUUCUUAUGGCAGGAUAUAGCUCAAAUAAUAAAUAUUCUUUUUCAGGUGGUCUACGAGCUGCCGCUCAAUCUAUUAGUUAUGAAAUCCCAUUAACUUUUUGUGUACUAGCAAUAUCUCUACGUGCGAUUCGUUAAAAUAGGAUCUUUUUCCUCUGAAAUUCAUUGAAUAUUUAUCCUCCUUUUCUUAUUCUAUAUUCAGGUUAGUAAGUUAAACUAGAUAGCUAUAUGAGUGAAACAAAACUGCUUAUUAAUUUGUAGUAAAAAGAAAAAAUCUCAUUUCCUAUGUACAAGAAAAAAUGGAAGUAAACAUAAGCGGUGUAAAUUCUUUACCCCAAGGUUGAGAUUUUUUGAUUAGUCAUCAUAUCUUGAAGCGGGCAAUAAUAAGGGAUUCCCGAUACAGAAAGUUGUAAUCAUAAGGGAAUCCAUCAAAAGUUAGUGAGGGAUUAGAAACACUAAAGUACAUAAAGGAUUAGUAAUGAGGGAAUCUAAAGCAUUAGAUAUUUUUCCUCGUAAAAGGAAUCAUAAUAAGGACUUGAAAUUGGUGGAAAUGAGCAAGUAGUACUUUCUUCGGAUUCCGAUCCAGAGUAUGUUCCCAUUCACUUGUUAAGGAAAUGGCUAUCAAGAACGAAUUAACCCUUUAUUCCUUUUUUCUUUUUAAAUACCCCUCGGGGAAAGAAGAAUAGGACAAAAGAUAUGGAAUGCAAUACAAAAAAAAAGAUCUUUAUUUAUUCUUUCCGUCGUUUAUCCAUAUUCAUACAGAAUUCUUCAUGAACUAAUACCCAACUCUUUUCGUUUAUUAAUUGUUAUAACGAGUGUUUUAUUCCAAGAUUAAGUUAUUGCUGAACAAAGAAAAAGUACCAUUAUAUUAUAAAGGAUGAGAUGAAUUCCGAAGCGUUUUUUAUUAUUCUAGCAGACAGAAUUCCUUUGGUCUAAUUUAGGACGUUGAAAUCGAUUUUAUCUUAGAUAAUUCUAACUACGCCCAAGAAGAUAAUAACGAAAUGAAACAGUACUUUCCUUUUUUCUGAUCAUAGAGGAGCCGUAUGAAACUAAGGUUUCAUGUACGGUUUUGGAAUAGCGGUGGGAACUGUGAUGUUAUCGUCGACUAUGAUUAUCCAACAGUUCAAGUACAGUUGAUAUAGUUGAAGCACAGUCAAAAUAUGGUUUUUUUGGAUGGAAUCUUUGGCGUCAGCCUAUAGGUUUUCUGGUUUUUCUAAUUUCUUCUUUGGCGGAAUGUGAAAGAUUACCCUUUGAUUUACCAGAAGCGGAGGAAGAAUUAGUAGCAGGUUAUCAAACCGAAUAUUCUGGUAUCAAAUAUGGUUUAUUUUAUCUUGUUUCUUACCUAAAUUUAUUAGUUUCCUCUUUAUUUGUAACAGUUCUCUACUUAGGCAGGUGGAAUUUGUCUAUUCCCUAUAUAUCCUUUUUUGGAUUUUUCCAAAUGAAUAAAAUGGUUGGAAUUUUAGAAAUGACAAUGAGUAUCUUUAUUACAUUAACUAAAGCUUAUUUAUUUCUCUUCAUUUCUAUCACAAUAAGAUGGACUUUACCCAGGAUGAGAAUGGAUCAGUUAUUAAAUCUUGGAUGGAAAUUUCUUUUACCUAUUUCCCUGGGCAAUCUCUUAUUAACAACUUCUUCCCAACUUGUUUCACUAUAAAAUAAGAUAAUACAAUAACAGUAAGAAUAUUUUCAACACAAAAGUCCUCUCAAACAAGAGAAAGAAACAUACCUUUUUCAUAGAUAUUUCGAAUAUGUUCCCUAUGGUAACUGGGUUCAUGAGUUAUGGUCAACAAACAAUACGCGCAGCAAGGUACAUUGGUCAAAGUUUCAUAAUUACCUUAUCCCACACAAAUCGUUUACCUAUAACGAUUCACUACCCCUAUGAAAAAUCAAUUACAUCGGAGCGUUUCCGGGGGCGAAUCCACUUUGAAUUUGAUAAAUGUAUUGCUUGUGAAGUAUGUGUUUGCGUAUGCCCUAUAGAUCUACCUCUUGUGGAUUGGAGAUUUGAAAAGGAUAUUAAAAGGAAACAAUUGCUUAAUUAUAGUAUUGAUUUCGGAGUUUGUAUAUUUUGUGGUAAUUGUGUUGAGUACUGUCCGACAAACUGUUUAUCAAUGACUGAAGAAUAUGAACUUUCUACUUAUGAUCGUCAUGAAUUGAAUUACAAUCAAAUUGCUUUGAGUCGGUUACCAAUCUCCAUAAUGGGAGAUUACACAAUUCAAACAAUUAGGAAU